CAAGUCGAACGGGCAUCUUCGGAUGUCAGUGGCAGACGGGUGAGGAACACGUGGGAACAUGCCCUUCGGUUCGGAAUAACUCAGGGAAACUUGAGCUAAUACCGGACACGCCCGAGAGGGGAAAGAUUUAUUGCCGAAGGAUUGGCCCGCGUCUGAUUAGCUAGUUGGUGAGGUAACGGCUCACCAAGGCGACGAUCAGUAGCUGGUCUGAGAGGAUGAUCAGCCACAUUGGGACUGAGACACGGCCCAAACUCCUACGGGAGGCAGCAGUGGGGAAUAUUGGACAAUGGGCGAAAGCCUGAUCCAGCCAUGCCGCGUGAGUGAUGAAGGCCUUAGGGUUGUAAAGCUCUUUUAUCCGGGAAGAUAAUGACUGUACCGGAAGAAUAAGCCCCGGCUAACUUCGUGCCAGCAGCCGCGGUAAUACGAAGGGGGCUAGCGUUGCUCGGAAUCACUGGGCGUAAAGGGCGCGUAGGCGGAUGAUUAAGUCGGAGGUGAAAGCCCAGGGCUCAACCCUGGAAUUGCCUUCGAUACUGAUCGUCUCGAGAAUGGAAGAGGUAAGUGGAAUACCGAGUGUAGAGGUGAAAUUCGUAGAUAUUCGGUGGAACACCAGUGGCGAAGGCGACUUACUGGUCCAUUUCUGACGCUGAGGCGCGAAAGCGUGGGGAUCAAACAGGAUUAGAUACCCUGGUAGUCCACGCCGUAAACGAUGAAUGCCAGCCGUUGGGGAGCUUGCUCUUCAGUGGCGCAGCUAACGCUUUAAGCAUUCCGCCUGGGGAGUACGGUCGCAAGAUUAAAACUCAAAGGAAUUGACGG
rnacentral:rRNA from 1 species